rnacentral:rRNA from 1 species
UCGAGCGAACGGACGAGAAGCUUGCUUCUCUGAUGUUAGCGGCGGACGGGUGAGUAACACGUGGAUAACCUACCUAUAAGACUGGGAUAACUUCGGGAAACCGGAGCUAAUACCGGAUAAUAUUUUGAACCGCAUGGUUCAAAAGUGAAAGACGGUCUUGCUGUCACUUAUAGAUGGAUCCGCGCUGCAUUAGCUAGUUGGUAAGGUAACGGCUUACCAAGGCAACGAUGCAUAGCCGACCUGAGAGGGUGAUCGGCCACACUGGAACUGAGACACGGUCCAGACUCCUACGGGAGGCAGCAGUAGGGAAUCUUCCGCAAUGGGCGAAAGCCUGACGGAGCAACGCCGCGUGAGUGAUGAAGGUCUUCGGAUCGUAAAACUCUGUUAUUAGGGAAGAACAUAUGUGUAAGUAACUGUGCACAUCUUGACGGUACCUAAUCAGAAAGCCACGGCUAACUACGUGCCAGCAGCCGCGGUAAUACGUAGGUG